UGUAGUUGAACCUUGGGCCUGGCCGUCCGGUCCGCCUCACCGCGUGUACUGGCUCGGCCGGGCCUUUCCCUCUGUGGAACCCCAUGCCCUUCACUGGGCGUGGCGGGGAAACAGGACUUUUACUGUGAAAAAAUUAGAGUGCUCCAGGCAGGCCUAUGCUCGAAUACAUUAGCAUGGAAUAAUAGAAUAGGACGUGUGGUUCUAUUUUGUUGGUUUCUAGGACCGCCGUAAUGAUUAAUAGGGACAGUCGGGGGCAUCAGUAUUCAAUUGUCAGAGGUGAAAUUCUUGGAUUUAUUGAAGACUAACUACUGCGAAAGCAUUUGCCAAGGAUGUUUUCAUUAAUCAGGAACGAAAGUUAGGGGAUCGAAGACGAUCAGAUACCGUCGUAGUCUUAACCAUAAACUAUGCCGACUAGGGAUCGGACGGUGUUAUUUUUUGACCCGUUCGGCACCUUACGAGAAAUCAAAGUGCUUGGGCUCCAGGGGGAGUAUGGUCGCAAGGCUGAAACUUAAAGAAAUUGACGGAAGGGCACCACCAGGGGUGGAGCCUGCGGCUUAAUUUGACUCAACACGGGGAAACUCACCAGGUCCAGACACAAUAAGGAUU
rnacentral:rRNA from 1 species